UUCCCGGGCCUUGUACACACCGCCCGUCACACCACGAAAGUUGGCAAUACCCGAAGCCGGUGGCCUAACCCGCAAGGGAGGGAGCCGUCUAAGGUAGGGUCGAUGAUUGGGGUG
rnacentral:rRNA from 1 species